rnacentral:rRNA from 1 species
GGUUGCCAUCAUACCAGCACUAAUGCACCGGAUCCCAUCAGAACUCCGCAGUUAAGCGUGCUUGGGCUAGAGUAGUACUAGGAUGGGUGACCCCCUGGGAAGUCCUCGUGUUGCAACCC